UUGCCAGCGCGCAGCCAACUCUGACUCAGCCUGCCUCAGAGUCAGUGCCCCCAGGAGGCACCAUCAAACUCUCCUGCACCAUGAGUAGUGGAACGAGCAUCAGUGGCUACUACAUUCACUGGUUUCAGCAAACAGCCGGGAACCCUCCGAGAUAUCUGCUGUAUUACAAAGACGAAUCUAGCAAGCACCAGGGCUCUGGGGUCCCUGCUCGGUUCUCUGCUUCCAAAGACACCUCCAGCAACAUUUGCUAUUUAACCAUCACGGGGAUCCAAGCAGAGGAUGAUGCUGAUUAUUACUGUGCCACAUGGGAUGGCAGUAGUAACGCUCAUCACAGUGAUACA